rnacentral:rRNA from 1 species
UAGGGGAAUUUUCGUUCAAUGGGCGCGAAGCCUGAACGAGCAAUGCCGCGUGAACGAGGAAGGUCUUCGGAUCGUAAAGUUCUGUUGAAGGGGAAAAAGAGCGGAGAGAGGAAAUGGUCUCCGAUUGAUAUUACCCUUCGAGGAAGUCACGGCUAACUACGUGCC